UUGGAGGGCAAGUCUGGUGCCAGCAGCCGCGGUAAUUCCAGCUCCAAUAGCGUAUAUUAAAGUUGUUGCAGUUAAAAAGCUCGUAGUUGAAUUUCGGGAUUCAUCCGUUGGUCGGGCUUCACGGUUCGUACUGGUGUGAUGGGUUCCUACCUUCUGAAUAACCGGCAUGCCAUUAAUUUGGUGCGCCGGGGAAGCAGAACUAUUACCUUGAAAAAAUUAGAGUGCUUAAAGCAGGCAAGUGCCUGAAUAGGUUAGCAUGGAAUAAUAAAAUAGGACGGCAUGGUUCUAUUUUGUUGGUUUCUAGGAUCACCGUAAUGAUUAAUAGGGAUAGUUGGGGGCAUUAGUAUUCAAUUGUCAGAGGUGAAAUUCUUGGAUUUAUUGAAGACUAACUUCUGCGAAAGCAUUUGCCAAGGAUGUUUUCAUUGAUCAAGAACGAAAGUUAGGGGAUCGAAGACGAUCAGAUACCGUCGUAGUCUUAACCAUAAACUAUGCCGACUAGGGAUCGGACGAUGUUAAUUUUUUAAUGACUCGUUCGGCGCCUUACGGGAAAC
rnacentral:rRNA from 1 species